GAACAAAAGGUGUAUUUUGCUGUUCGAUGGGCAAGCUUUGGAAACAAUUUAAAGCCUCUCGUAACUUAUACUGGGCGAGCAGGUAAACACCCUUACCGAAUAACUUUAGUAAUUCCAUCAAAUUAUUGUCCUCUUCGCGGAAGCUUUGAGGUGUGCUCUCUCCUCUUUUAGAACUUCUCGCUUCGCGUAAUUUAUAUGUUAAACGAGCUCCUGGUCUUAAUGCUUGGGUUCUAGGUUCCACAAAGUGGGAUUUUAAAGACGUAUCCCUAUUGUUAGAAUCAGCUUUUUGAGCAUCAUUGAAAGCCAAAAGGUUUUUGCUAGUCUGAGAUUGAGAUUGUAAUUUCAAGCUUUGAUGUCGUUCCUUCUCACUUCCUGGAAGCUCAGAAGCGUCAACCCUAUCAAACCACUUAGUAAAUGCUGAAAUGGAUGAGUUUGAAUAACUAUUUGCUAUCGAUUCAGAAACCGAAAACUUGUUGGAAGAUGAGGAAGACUCUUUACUUUUCUUCAAAAAAGACGGUUCUGGUACCGAAGCUGUAGCAUUCGUUUGAGAUUUUUCAAAACCCUUCAUUGCCGUAAGGUA